rnacentral:rRNA from 1 species
UGCCGCGUGAGUGAAGAAGGCCUUCGGGUUGUAAAGCUCUUUUGUCAGGGAAGAAAAGGGUUCGGCUAAUAUCCGGGGCUCAUGACGGUACCUGAAGAAUAAGCACCGGCUAACUACGUGCCAGCAGCCGCGGUAAUACGUAGGGUGCAAGCGUUAAUCGGAAUUACUGGGCGUAAAGCGUGCGCAGGCGGUUUUGUAAGACUGUCGUGAAAUCCCCGGGCUCAACCUGGGAAUGGCGAUGGUGACUGCAAGGCUAGAGUUUGGCAGAGGGGGGUAGAAUUCCACGUGUAGCAGUGAAAUGCGUAGAUAUGUGGAGGAACACCGAUGGCGAAGGCAGCCCCCUGGGUCAAAACUGACGCUCAUGCACGAAAGCGUGGGGAGCAAACAGGAUUAGAUACCCUGGUAGUCCACGCCCUAAACGAUGUCUACUAGUUGUCGGGUCUUAAUUGACUUGGUAACGCAGCUAACGCGUGAAGUAGACCGCCUGGGGAGUACGGUCGCAAGAUUAAAACUCAAAGGAAUUGACGGGGACCCGCACAAGCGGUGGAUGAUGUGGAUUAAUUCGAUGCAACGCGAAAAACCUUACCUACCCUUGACAUGGCAGGAAUCCUGGAGAGAU